CAGUCAGUGGCCACAACUUGUGGGGCACCUGUCCUGGAAGGAUAGGCAGUCUGGACUAUCUUGUGGGAUAUUUAGUGCUUCGGAGUCCAGAAUACAACUGAUGGCCAAGGAAGAUGACAUUACGCCUGAGCCAUUUACCAACAAAACGACACCUGCAGAUUUGCCAGGGCAUUGAUGUCUGCUCAGUGCCUGGCCCCUGGCUGGCACCUUGUCUCUUGGAUGCUGUCCAUCUACUACAUGAGUUUUGACUGAAAUAUCAGCAUGAGGAAGCAUUCAUGUGAUCUACUGUGAAUGCAGAGACUCCUAGCUGGCGAAAGUACCGAGAAUACAGGACUGCAAAUUGAUUCCCAAUAUCUUUGUCUGAUGACCCAAAACGGCC